rnacentral:rRNA from 1 species
CCUACGGGUGGCAGCAGUGAGGAAUAUUGGUCAAUGGACGAGAGUCUGAACCAGCCAAGUAGCGUGAAGGAUGACUGCCCUAUGGGUUGUAAACUUCUUUUAUAUGGGAAUAAAACGUUCCACGUGUGGGCUUUUGUAUGUACCAUAUGAAUAAGGAUCGGCUAACUCCGUGCCAGCAGCCGCGGUAAUACGGAGGAUCCGAGCGUUAUCCGGAUUUAUUGGGUUUAAAGGGAGCGUAGGUGGAUUGUUAAGUCAGUUGUGAAAGUUUGCGGCUCAACCGUAAAAUUGCAGUUGAAACUGGCAGUCUUGAGUACAGUAGAGGUGGGCGGAAUUCGUGGUGUAGCGGUGAAAUGCUUAGAUAUCACGAAGAACUCCGAUUGCGAAGGCAGCUUACUAAACUGCCACUGACAUUGAUGCUCGAAAGUGUGGGUAUCAAACAGGAUUAGAUACCCUAGUAGUC